UGUUAGAGCACACAACAGGUUUUUGCUCAUGCUUGUAGUGUGUAAUUAAAGAGGUUUAGGUUCCGAUUGUAAUUACUUGGAAUGAUUUAUCAUUUGCCUGCUGCAUCUCAUCAGAUAGGAACUGGAUUCUUGUGCCAUGCAUUGCUUGACCACACUGCAUCGCCCUUCCUUUCCUGACAUGAGUCAAUAAGACUUUCCUGAAAUUUAAGUCCUUGUUUCUUCAUAAUCAUUGCCUAUGCAAAUAAGAGAUGAGCUCAAUUAAACUUUACGCAUGUCACAUGCUGGUCUUGGUUGUUGCAGGGUGAGCUGGUGGUUUGCUGCAGGGUGAGAGGCAAUUGGUUUGGUUUCAAUGUUGCUGCAGGUAUGAGUGUGGGUCCUAUUCUGAUCUGCGGCCUACCUCUACUACUAUCAUGUUUUGACCACAAAUAGCGAUAGGAGUGUGAGAGCUUUAUGGGGGAUGUUGGCAUCACAGAUUCUGAAUCGAAACUGGGAUUCUGCGCUCGAAGAGGUUAAUCGCUUAAAAGAGAUUAUCGAUUCAAAGACCAUUGGCUCCUUUUAGAAGAAGUACAACAUUGGAUCGUUUGAGCUGCUGAGCAAAACUGCACCAAUUCAAGCAAUUUCACUUAUUAUGCUGGUCCCCUUUGUCGAUUAUUACCUCAAUGGGUGAUCAUUGUUGAACUACAAUUUUUUAGGAGGGGCCACUAUACACGGGAGCAGUGUGCCGCCGCCGCUGCCGCCAUAACGAUGCAUGCUGGCAUGUGUCGUCGCUCAGGCGGGCGUAUCCUGCUGGCCACUGCCCUUGUAUAUACGAGGAUUGAUCCUGAAAAGUGUAGAUACAAACAACCCAAGUAUUUUUCCUCAUAUCUUGGCAACGGAACAUCUGAAAUCUCAUUGUGUUUACUGUUUCAGAUAUAGCUCCUUUAGCUUACUGUUUCAGAUAUAGAUGUUUUAUGUUUCUCCUUUUAUUUCAAAUUUCAUCACAAUUUGUUUGCAUAGUAGAAUUUGAUAAAACUUUUGUAAGAAGCCACUGCAGUUGCUAUCUACCUCUUUUCUGGUGUUUAUUUAAUAGUUUUGAUUAGUUCAUUAAUUGUUUGGUUCACCUUUGCAAGGUAGAAUUUAACGAAAUUUUUGCAAGAAGCAGCUACAGUUGCUAUCUACCUCUUUUUUUGUGUUUAUUUGACAGUUUGAUAAUUAGUUCAGUAAUUGUUUGGUUCACCUUGCGAUAUAUAAUAUGAGUGAGCGAUCACUAGCUACUUCAUUUGCAGAGGUGUCUAGAGGGGGAGGUGUAGGUGGCUCUGUAGCUGCCUAAUUGAGGGUAGAGACCACGAGAAAAGUCCAGCUAAUGGGGAGCUGCAUCAGCGUGGGGCUCUCCUCGACACCACUCUGCAGGAGACCGAUGCCAAGCUGUGAUGUGCUUGAGGGAUGAGGACAACGUGGGGUGGCGUUAUGUCUAUUGUUCAUUUGGGUGAUCGAGUUGUACACACAUUUUCUUAUCCCAAAGAAGGAACCAAGUUGAACAAGGUUCCUCUUCUCUGUCCCUUAAACGUUUGUUGAUUGUUAUGUGCGUGGAUUUGUUGGAUAGACACAACACACAACCUUAUUAAAGAUACAUAUAAUACAAUGUGUGGAUGAAAAUAAUUAUGGUA